rnacentral:rRNA from 1 species
UACGUAGGUGACAAGCGUUGUCCGGAUUUACUGGGCGUAAAGAGCGCGCAGGCGGUCGAUCAAGUCGAGUGUGAAAGCCCCCGGCUCAACUGGGGAGGGUCAUUCGAUACUGAUCGACUCGAAGGCAGGAGAGGGUAGUGGAAUUCCCGGUGUAGUGGUGAAAUGCGUAGAUAUCGGGAGGAACACCAAUGGCGAAGGCAGCACUCUGGGACGUGACUGACGCUGAGACGCGAAAGCGUGGGGGAGCAAACAGG